UUUGAGGAACUGAAGAAACAUUUGGAUGAACAUCUGAAAGCCAAGGCUGAAUUCCUCUAUCAUAAAUACCAAAAUCAACAAGAUUCUGACAAAUGGAAUGACUCGAAGAAGAACCUCCGUUACUUCAUGAGGAUCGAAGAAUUUACUGCUCAUUUUAUGAGUUUGUACAAGUCAUUCAUCACGAAGAGCGACACCGAACCCAAGCAUUGAACA